AUGACUGUUCCUACCACACCGGUCAGAUCCAAUCAGAGAUUGGAGCUACAACAUCCCAGCAUUAAGGUUUUCAUCACAGAAUUGUGGCACCAAGGGGAUUGCAGAGGCAAAGCUAGGCUAGGUCUUGGAGGCUGGUGUGAGGCGGUGCGGGUAAGGCAGGAGGCUGCUGGAAGACACUGGUGGAAGAAAAGCCGAAAUGGAUUCUCCGUGCCUUGGAUGGAGGAAGAGGGGGGAAGUGCGAGCUCCUUCAACUCUUUCGGUCCGGUGAGGAGUGAUCCAGCUUGGGCUGACAAGAGUCUCCGGGAGCCCUCUCGUUCAGUGCUUUUUUACCUGCCAAUCAAACUGCUACAAGACAACACCCUGAUCUGGCAUGGACCCCGCGGGUCCAAGCCUGUAGUCCCAAAUCGGAUAAUCUCUGCAGCUGGCUACACGCAAAAGAGAAGCCAGGCAACAGACAUAUUACAGAAGAAAGCUCUCGACUCCGAGACCGAUCCUAGAAAUUCUCCUCAAGAUCCAUUUAAAAGAAUCUGGCUGGUUGCUUUGGUCUCAGAGUGCCGACAUCUCUUACAAAACUAA
rnacentral:lncRNA from 1 species